rnacentral:rRNA from 1 species
AACGAACGCUGGCGGCGUGCCUAACACAUGCAAGUCGAGCGAGAAAGCCCGCAAGGGUGAGUAAAGCGGCGCACGGGUGCGUAACACGUGGGUAAUCUGCCCUGAAGCCCGGAAUAACUCGCCGAAAGGCGUGCUAAUGCCGGAUAAGACCACGGGAACUUCGGUUCCUGCGGGAAAAGGUGGCCUCUGUAUACAAGCUAUCUCUUCAGGAUGAGCCCGCGGCCCAUCAGCUAGUUGGCGGGGUAACGGCCCACCAAGGCUACGACGGGUAGCUGGUCUAAGAGGACGAUCAGCCACACUGGAACUGAGACACGGUCCAGACUCCUACGGGAGGCAGCAGUGGGGAAUCUUGCGCAAUGGGCGAAAGCCUGACGCAGCAACGCCGCGUGUGUGAUGAAGGUCUUCGGAUCGUAAAGCACUGUCGGGAGGGACGAAUAAGGCCGGCGCUAACAUCGCCGGACGAUGACGGUACCUCCAAAGGAAGCACCGGCUAACUCUGUGCCAGCAGCCGCGGUAAUACAGAGGGUGCAAGCAUUGUUCGGAAUUAUUGGGCGUAAAGCGCGUGUAGGCGGCUCAGCAAGUCGGAUGUGAAAGCCCUCGGCUUA